rnacentral:ncRNA from 1 species
AGACAUUUGGUUCAUGUGCUUGGCUGAUAAGCCCAAUGGUGCGAAGCUACCAUCUGAGGGAUUAUGACUGAACGCCUCUAAGUCAGAAUCCCGCCUGGAAAGCGACGAUGCAUUCGUGCCUCGGCCUCGAGAGGCGUAGCUAGACGGCCGCGUGGCCGUGGAAAGAGCCCGAUUCCGACCCGAGAGGCCGCGGCAAGAGGCGGCCUCGAAGUCGGUGGAUCCUCCUGCUCGAAAGGCGGGGUGCUAAACCAUUCGCAGACGACCUAGUUGAAGAUCGGGGUGUCGUGAUCACUAGAGCAGUACAUCUCACUGCGAUUUGUUGAGAGUAAGCCUCAAGAUCUGUCGGUUUGU